CUAUUUACCGCCAUUACGCUUUUGUGUUGUUGUCGAAGAAAAAAAAAAGAGAAAAUAAAAUGUACAAAUGUUAAGCAGGAGGUGAUUCGAAACGCUAGGUAUCUUAGCAGAGAAGAUGUUCACUGGUACACAGUUCCAUGUUUUGUUGUGGUAGAGAAGUUGGUCUUCUGGUAGACAGUUUUGUAUUGUAUAAUGGCAAUGGCAAAGAUGUAACCAAAUAGAUACAUGUACCAAAUUUAGAUAGAAAAGAUAGUUCUGGUUGUUUGGUCCAUGCUUGCGUAGAGAUCAGAUGUAGAUGGAGUGUAUAAAAUUGAGUAUAUUAUGUAAGAGACCCAGCAGAAUGAGGCACCGCAGAAUAUCAUGUUAGAGGAAUGGCAAAAUGUUACAUUGGACAACCUUGAAGAGAAAACA